GGGAGAAUUGGAUAUGAAGCAGACUUGUCUCUGUGCACUUCUAAGAAUGUAUUCUGGGAGCUCAAGAGUUCAAAGUCUUGACAGGAUGUAACGUGAGGAUGUUAUGCAGUUUGGCUAGACGUAAAGGGUACCAUGUUUUUGGCAGGCCUGA